UAGGGAAUAUUGGGCAAUGGACGGAAGUCUGACCCAGCCAUGCCGCUUGCAGGAAGAAGGCGCUCAGCGUUGUAUACUGCUUUUAUCGGGGAAGAACGGCAGUCCUGCGGGAUUGUGUGACGGUACUCGAGGAAUAAGCACCGGCUAACUCCGUGCCAGCAUCCGCGGUAAUACGGAGGGUGCGAGCGUUGUCCGGAUUUAUUGGGUUUAAAGGGUGCGUAGGUGGUUGAGUAAGUCUGGUUUGAAAGUCAGUCGCUUAACGAUUGAGGGUGGCUGGAUACUGCUGAACUUGAAUGCCCUGGAGGUAGGUGGAACGGGUUGUGUAGCGAUGAAAUGAAUGGAUAUAGCACAGAACCCGAAUAGCGAAGGCAGCCUACUACGGGGUGAGUGAAACUGAGGCACGAGAGCAUGGGGAGCAAACA
rnacentral:rRNA from 1 species